ACUCAACGAGAAUUCUAUAAAUGGGGUCCGUUUAAGUUGUAAAAGCAUGCUGCCUUGUCGCAGACCCUUGAUCAGCUUUUCAGCCCUAAAUCCUGUUAAAAAGGAGUUU
rfam:Formosa sp. Hel3_A1_48, complete genome.